GGCGUCGCCGGAGAACCCUCUUCCUUGUCCUUCUCUAGCGUCACCGGAGAGCCGUCGUCCGUCGUCAUCAUCACCGGAGAACCCUCUUCUUCGUCCUUUUCCAGUGUCACCGGAGAGCCCUCGUCCUUGUCCGUCAUCGUUGUCACUGGAGCGCCGCGUCCUCCUCCAAUGUCACCAGAGAGCCCUUGUCCCUCAUCAUGGAGAGCCUUCGUCCUCCCAUCCAUAGUCACCAGAGAGCCCUUGUCCUUCUCCACCAUCAUGGUCACUGGAGAGCCCUCGUCUCUUCCCUCAUCAUCAUCACCGCAGCUCCUUCGUCGUCCUCCAUCAUCAUCGUCCUCGGAGAGCCUUCGUCCUCGUCACCGGCGCACCCUCGUCACCCAAGAAGCAUCGUAGCUCCUCAGUUGUCACUGUCACCGGAGACUCCUCGUCCUUCACCAUUGCGGUCACCGGAGAACCAUUGUCACCACGGCUCCUUCGUCCUCCAUCAUCUUCGUCACCGCAGCUCCUUCGUCGGCGUCACCAGAGAUCCUUCGUCCUCGACACCGCAGCGCCCUCGUCCCUGUCCCUGCAGAGCCACUGCCACCCCCUCCGGUGUCACCGGGGAUCCCCUGUCCCCACCAUGGCGAUGGACCCCACCACUAAAUUAUUGUGGCCCCCCCCUUAACCAAAUCAGCCUGGUUUCUCCCUAAAAAAA
rnacentral:lncRNA from 1 species